rnacentral:tRNA from 1 species
GCCUGGGUGGCUCAGCUGGUUGAGCGUCUGACUCCAGCUCAGGUCAUGAUCUCAUGACUUGUGGGUUCAAGCCCUGCAACAAGCU